UGUACACAUUUAAAGGGCCUGUUUUAUAUUAUGUGAAUUAUAUCUCAAUAAAUAGAAAAUGGGUCCUGGGUAUAAUGAAGAUUCCAUUCCAUUUGCCCAGGAGACCACUGGAUACAAUGAGGAGAAUGGAGUCCAGAGGGGAGAGGACCAGCAAUGGUACUCGUCUCUCUUGCCUUGGGACCUUGCCCAUCACCCUGCCGUCAGAGACUGCACAGCAAGGCAGGAUCUCAGAGGACUGUUCUAAUGGAGACAAGAUGUUCUUUCUUCCUGCCCAUGAGUGAGAGCAGUUUAUGGACUAGAGAUGGAGUGCUCCCUCUCUCACUUAACUUCCUUGAGGAGAUUUUCAGUUCAAUAGGGAAGCUGAGGAACCCUUCCCCGGUUUGCUUGGCCAACUCCGUUUGUGGACAGAGCACAUGCCUCUUUCUCUUGAGUUAUGAAGAUCACACUGACAGAAGGCCAAUUUGA
rnacentral:lncRNA from 1 species